ensembl:lncRNA
CACCAACUUUACCUUGACGAUCUUUUGGGGCGGUGACGUCAUUGUUGUCUGUUUGGCUAAAUUCUGGUCUGCAUGCAUGUAGAUUGUUUACCUCUCUCUCAGCGGCGGGUGGUUUGGCCAUCGCGGUAACAUGGAAUGGGCUUUUCUUUACAAAAUCGGGGACCUCAGUCAGCAAAGUGUCGAAUGGGUUAUUCAAACGUCACUCCAGCCGUCUGAUGGAUGUACACGUGGAUUCCUGGGGAACCACGAUGGCUACAAUACUCAUCUGCUGUUUUUAAUUGUUAAGAUCACCAAUGUUGGCUGGCAGCUGUCUUGAUUCAAUCCCAGAGCUCCGAAACCAACGCUGCAUUUUUCAUGACCGCGGAUAGUGGUCUGCUGGCGUCACGGUGAGGAGAAGUUUGAGCCAAUUAGCAUGGGAGCUGUCAACAGCCCUGGCAGGUUGAGGAGCCCAGCGCUGAUGUGAACUGCAGAUGGAGCGGGCUUCCUAAUGGCAUCCAAAUGCUCAGAGCCCAGAGCCAACCGCAGAAAAAAUAUGUUGUAAAUCACAAACUUAAUGUAAUGAGGA